rnacentral:lncRNA from 1 species
AUGAGCUUUUAUUUCAGACGGUGGGCACGUAGCCCAUCUGUGUCUCCAUGUGGAUGGGCCAUUCUGCAGCCAUCCUGCCUCUCAUCCCUGUUCCUUUGGGAUCCUCACCCCAUGGCCAGCCAUCCUCCCCCCCAUCCCUUUCUUUGGGAUCCUCACCCCAUGGCCAGCCAUCCUCCCCCUCAUCCCCUUCCUUGGGGAUCCUUGCCCCAUGGCCAUUCCCUCACGAGGAAUGGGGCACCCAGCACCUGCUCCCUGCCCGCUCCUGCCCUCUCCUCACUCCUGCCCCACACGGCUCCCCUCGGGGAACCCCAUGGCUUGUUAUUUGGGUGUUUCUGGGAAGAAAAGCCCAGGAGAGCUGUUUCUUCCCCAGAGGUAUUAUCUCCCUAUACAGCCUUAUGCCCUUUGCCUCCCCUGGGUGCUGUGAGGGGCUGGGGGUCAGACUGGAUCCUGGCAGCCCAUUUUCCUCUGCUUUCCACGUUCACACUACUGGAGGGCUCCUCCUGCUGUCCCAAAGGGGCAAAAAAGUCCCCUAGAGGAGCGGGCGCCAUCCCGCCGGCUGUGAGGGAGGAGCGGCCCUGGCCACGGCCGUUCCUCUCUGGGGAGGGAGGUGGCACAAGGCCGCGGCUCUCCCGAUGCCAAGGUGGCGUCCCUGUGAGCCCCUCUGGAAGGAACACCAUGACCCCGCUGUCUCCAGCCUCGGCUGGCAGGAGGGGUGCUGAGGAGCUGGGCUGGCAGGGUUGCUCCUGAGACCUCUGUGCUACAAACCCCCUGUUCUGCUGCUGUGCAAGAUGGAUAGAGGGGACUUUUCCUGAGCAGGCUGAGGACCUGAGUAGCAGGUGUUAGGUACAUCCAGGAGGAAGGCUAUGGACCUGCAUUAACAAAGUGGAUGAGAACGGGAAGUAUCCUCCUUCCAGAGACCCCACUGCCAUUUUUUUCUGCUUCCCAGUGAUCCACACAGAGCAGGGAGGCAGGAGGGGGCCGAUCAAAACUUUUUGAUUGUUCUCGCUUGACUGUGUUUCCUAACAAUCACUAAGAGUUUAGCUUGUUAGGCUGCUUGUCACCAUGUUGACUGAGCACACUAACUUUUUUACAGAUUCUGCUUACAAAAAAACUAAGCAAAUUUAUUCUUAUUUAAUAAUAAAAUACUUUACAAAUAGUCUUUUUUGAUGGGA